CACCCUGACAGAGUGUUAGAGUUAGGGAGUGACACGGAGGAACUGACCUGCACACGGAGGGAGUUUUCCAGGCUGAAAUUCUGAUGCUCAAGGAAGCGUGAACAUCAGAGAUGCUGCUAGGCCUUUCAACACUUUUGAGAUGGACAGGGAUUUUCUGCUGCAUCUGUGCAAAGCCAUCUAACGUGGGCUGGCCCUGAAGCAGAGCGGGACUGAAGUUAUCCCAAGGAGAGCUCAGCACCUGGCUGCUGGGGUCUGGAUCCCUACAUGCCCAAGGCAGUCCCACAUAUCCCUCAAAUUCAAAGAUUCACAACCCGGGAGACUUCAGCUUUGUGUCCACAUUGCCACUUCCCACAACAUGGAUCACUCAAGGCUGCUGCAGAAGAUGGAACAAUUAACUUUUACAGAUUUACUAACUUUUAAAUGUUUCAGCUCUGAACAACUUCACCUGGAAACCCCGAUGAUGGCAAGCUCACCACCUCGUGUCCGCUAUUAA
rnacentral:lncRNA from 1 species